UACAGAGGCCCCAAGCAUUAUCCGGAAUCACUGGGCGUAAAGGGUGUCAAGGCGGUUAUGUUAGUCGUUCGUUAAAUCUGGGGGCUCAACCUCCAGCCUGCGAGCGAAACGGCAUAACUUGAGGUCGGGAGAGGUAUGUGGAACUCAUGGUGUAGGGGUGAAAUCCGUUGAUAUCAUGGGGAACACCAAAGGCGAAGGCAGCAUACUGGCCCGAAUCUGACGCUCACACACGAAAGCCAGGGUAGCGAAUGGG
rnacentral:rRNA from 1 species